rnacentral:lncRNA from 1 species
CUCGGCCAGCUCCUCCGCCAGUUCUUUCAGUACCCUCGGGUGCAUCCCAUCUGGCCCCAUCGACUUGCGCACAUCCAAGCUAUAGGCCUAUAGACAGGCCUAUAGUUCCCCGGGUCGAAAGGAAUGUGUGGGGAGCUGGGGGUCAGCCUCUUCUCACAGAUAACUAGUGAUAGGACUAGAGGGAGUUGCACCAGGGGAGGUUUAGGUUGGAAAUUAAGAGACAUAUCUUCUCUGAAAGAGCAGUCAGGCGUUGGAAUAGGUUGCCCAGGGAGGUGGUGGAGUCACCAUCCCUGGCGGUGUUCAAGGAAAGAUUGGACCUCGUGCUUAGGGACAUGGUUUAGUGGGCUAUAUUGGUGGCAGGGGGAUGGUUGGACCAGAUGAUCUUGAAGGUCUUUUCCAACCUUAAUGAUUCUAUGAUUCUAUGAUAGGUAGACUGUAGUUAGGAUAAUAUAAUUUGUAUAGGCUUUGCACACAUAGGAAGGCUCAAAAAAAGAUUUAUAUGUUGAUGAAAUUAGAAAUGGCUCUCCUGAAAUGUUUCAUGCUUCAGCUUUCAAAAAAUGUCUGUGUUUUAAACGGUAUUGCCUGUUUUUGUUGAUUUUGCAUUUUAUAGGAGCAUCUAUGGACCUUGUGGACCUUGUUGAGAACUUGGGUAAUAGAAAUCCAAAUAUUUCCUUCCCUAUUGCAUGUGGAAAUAUUUGCAGAGAGAUGGAACCCAAGGUACUGCUGAGGAUAAAUAUUGCUCCCUACCUGCUCUGUUCUGAUUGUCAUCUGCUAGUGUCUGCGAUUAGCAUCAUCAAAGAAUGGAUACUAUGUCUGAUAAACCUUUCUUGUGAAGUAAUGAACUGUGUUUAAAUUCCUCUAUAAUGUAAACAAUACCUUCCAAAAUAUACCAAUACCCUAAGAUACUAUGAAUGAAGUCUGAAAUCUAUAAGACAAAAAAAAAAAUAUCCAAUUAAUAAGGAGGAGGAUAUAUGAAGUAAUUCUCUGAAGUACUAUGGAGUUUCCACAGCAGUUUACCCAACAAAUUAACUGCGUGCUGUAAUAAUAUUGAAUAAUAAAAAAUUUAGAGAACAAAUCUUAUGAGGAGUG